ACUCCUACGGGAGGCAGCAGUAGGGAAUCUUCCACAAUGGGCGCAAGCCUGAUGGAGCAACACCGCGUGAGUGAAGAAGGGUUUCGGCUCGUAAAGCUCUGUUGUUAAAGAAGAACACGUAUGAGAGUAACUGUUCAUACGUUGACGGUAUUUAACCAGAAAGUCACGGCUAACUACGUGCCAGCAGCCGCGGUAAUACGUAGGUGGCAAGCGUUAUCCGGAUUUAUUGGGCGUAAAGAGAGUGCAGGCGGUUUUCUAAGUCUGAUGUGAAAGCCUUCGGCUUAACCGGAGAAGUGCAUCGGAAACUGGAUAACUUGAGUGCAGAAGAGGGUAGUGGAGCUCCAUGUGUAGCGGUGGAAUGCGUAGAUAUAUGGAAGAACACCAGUGGCGAAGGCGGCUACCUGGUCUGCAACUGACGCUGAGACUCGAAAGCAUGGGUAGCGAACAGGAUUAGAUACCCUGGUAGGAUAGAG
rnacentral:rRNA from 1 species